rnacentral:rRNA from 1 species
GACGAACGCUGGCGGCAGGCCUAACACAUGCAAGUCGAACGGACCCUUCGGGGUUAGUGGCGCACGGGUGAGUAACACGUGGGAAUAUGCCCUUAGGUACGGGACAACAGCUGGAAACGGCUGCUAAUACCGUAUGGUAUCGAGAGAUCAAAGAUUUAUCGUCUAAGGAAUAGCCCGCGUUAGAUUAGGUAGUUGGUGGGGUAAGAGCCUACCAAGCCUACGAUCUAUAGCUGGUCUCAGAGGAUGAUCAGCCACACUGGAACUGAGACACGGUCCAGACUCCUACGGGAGGCAGCAGUGAGGAAUAUUGGACAAUGGGCGAAAGCCUGAUCCAGCCAUGCCGCGUGAAUGAUGAAGGCCUUAGGGUUGUAAAGUUCUUUUAGUAGUGAAGAUGAUGACGGUAACUACAGAAAAAGCCCCGGCUAACUCCGUGCCAGCCGCCGCGGUAACAC